AGAGUUUGAUCCUGGCUCAGAUUGAACGCUGGCGGCAGGCUUAACACAUGCAAGUCGAACGGUAACAGGAAGAAAGCUUGCUUUCUUUGCUGACGAGUGGCGGACGGGUGAGUAAUGCUUGGGAAUCUGGCUUAUGGAGGGGGAUAACUACGGGAAACUGUAGCUAAUACCGCGUAGUAUCGAGAGAUGAAAGUGUGGGACCGCAAGGCCACAUGCCAUAAGAUGAGCCCAAGUGGGAUUAGGUAGUUGGUUAGGUAAAGGCUGACCAAGCCGACGAUCUCUAGCUGGUCUGAGAGGAUGACCAGCCACACUGGAACUGAGACACGGUCCAGACUCCUACGGGAGGCAGCAGUGGGGAAUAUUGCACAAUGGGGGGAACCCUGAUGCAGCCAUGCCGCGUGAAUGAAGAAGGCCUUCGGGUUGUAAAGUUCUUUCGGUGAUGAGGAAGGUGUUUGUUUUAAUAGAACAAGCAAUUGACGUUAGUCACAGAAGAAGCACCGGCUAACUCCGUGCCAGCAGCCGCGGUAAUACGGAGGGUGCGAGCGUUAAUCGGAAUAACUGGGCGUAAAGGGCACGCAGGCGGUGACUUAAGUGAGAUGUGAAAGCCCCGAGCUUAACUUGGGAAUUGCAUUUCAUACUGGGUCGCUAGAGUACUUUAGGGAGGGGUAGAAUUCCACGUGUAGCGGUGAAAUGCGUAGAGAUGUGGAGGAAUACCGAAGGCGAAGGCAGCCCCUUGGGAAUGUACUGACGCUCAUGUGCGAAAGCGUGGGGAGCAAACAGGAUUAGAUACCCUGGUAGUCCACGCUGUAAACGCUGUCGAUUUGGGGAUUGGGUUUUAUGCUUGGUGCCCGUAGCUAACGUGAUAAA
rnacentral:rRNA from 1 species